rnacentral:rRNA from 1 species
UACAGAGGUCUCAAGCGUUGUUCGGAUUCAUUGGGCGUAAAGGGUGCGUAGGCGGCGCGGUAAGUCGGGGUGGUGAAAUCUCGGAGCUUAACUCCGAAACUGCAUUCGAUACUGCCGUGCUUGAGGACUGGAGAGGAGACUGGAAUUUACGGUGUAGCGGUGAAAUGCGUAGAUAUCGUAAGGAAGACCAGUGGCGAAGGCGGGUCUCUGGACAGUUCCUGACGCUGAGGCACGAAGGUCAGGGGGAGCAAACGGG